AACCACACCUUGUUAGUUUGAGCAAUGCUUUUAUAGGGUAGAUUUAUGACAGAAUAUUACAGUAGUGCUAUAACCCUUCAUACAGUUGCUAUAAGCCUUCCCUUUGCCCUGAUGUAGACAGGAUGGGCCGAUGAGCUGAGACAUGCUCUGUAAUGAACAACUCCUCAAAGCAAUGUGGAAAAAACACUCUAGACUAUAACUAAUAUUUAUAUUACUAUUUACAAAUCAUUUUCAAUUACAACAUUUUGAUAUCUGUCCAUUUAAAAAGACGUUCUGCUUUUGGUCACAAAAACAUGUUUAUCGUUAUUCCAUUAGUUAAAUAACUGCUCUCCAGUAAAACUGUCUAGACUACCGUCUCUAUAGUAACAUGGGGACGCAGGGGGAGUUGUGUCACAGACCUUUAGCGUGACGUGUGUUCUAUGCAAUAAUAACGGUUGACCACUGGUCUACUAGUGUUCAAGCUGUGGUCAGAGAAAAUCCAACAAUGCUGACCUGAAUCCCAAAACAGAACUCUUAAACAUCUUGCCCAAGUCAGUGAGUGGGGGGGGUCGUCUAGUGAGACAGUAGGAGUUGUGUCGAGGUUCACUGGCAGGGGUCUAGUGAGGAUGUGAGAGGGGGUCUGGUCUGGCAUUCAGGGAGAUAAUUGGAUUUGAGGGUCCCCUCUCCAGUACCGAGGGAUUUGGGGGAUAUAAAGAAAGUUGUGCUUGUUGAUAACAGUUUGGGUUUUGUCCCUCUGAUUCUCCCCAGGGAGACUGACUGUUUACCUUCACCCUGCCUGGUUAACAUACUAAUCAGGAGGUACAGGGGCUAGGAGCUAGCGAUACUAAUCAGGAGGUGCAGGGGCUAGGAGCUAGCGAGGAGCUAGCGAUACUAAUCAGGAGGUGCAGGGGCUAGGAGCUAGCGAGGAGCUAGCGAUACUAAUCAGGAGGUGCAGGGGCUAGGAGCUAGCGAUACUAAUCAGGAGGUGCAGGGGCUAGGAGCUAGCGAUACUAAUCAGGAGGUACAGGGGCUAGGAGCUAGCGAGGAGCUAGCGAUACUAAUCAGGAGGUACAGGGGCUAGGAGCUAGCGAUACUAAUCAGGAGGUACAGGGGCUAGGAGCUAGCGAUACUAAUCAGGAGGUACAGGGGCUAGGAGCUAGCGAUACUAAUCAGGAGGUACAGGGGCUAGGAGCUAGCGAUACUAAUCAGGAGGUACAGGGGCUAGGAGCUAGCGAUACUAAUCAGGAGGUACAGGGGCUAGGAGCUAGCGAUACUAAUCAGGAGGUACAGGGGCUAGGAGCUAGCGAUACUAAUCAGGAGGUACAGGGGCUAGGAGCUAGCGAGGAGCUAGCGAUACUAAUCAGGAGGUGCAGGGGCUAGGAGCUAGCGAUACUAAUCAGGAGGUACAGGGGCUAGGAGCUAGCGAGGAGCUAGCGAUACUAAUCAGGAGGUGCAGGGGCUAGGAGCUAGCGAUACUAAUCAGGAGGUACAGGGGCUAGGAGCUAGCGAUACUAAUCAGGAGGUGCAGGGGCUAGGAGCUAAUGUUACUAAGUGCACCACAAUGUCUGCUAAGGCCUUUCGGACUGUGUAUACUGUGUGUUUGUUUGGGGGGGGAGUGUGUAGCUUUGUUGGAGUGAGAACAUACAGAACAACUGACACACACACACCCCCCGUAUGAGAUGCAUGUUACACACACUUCAACACAAAUACUCACACGCACACAUUCACAAACUACAACUGCCACUUAGAGAGUCCGGGUGGUAAUAAAUUAAAGGGGGCAGUAGAUAGAGGGGGAAGGAGAGUAUAGAUAUACAGUAGUUAUACUA